rnacentral:tRNA from 1 species
GGCUAGAUAGCAUAAGGGGUUACAUGCAAAAGAUUGCAAAUCUUUGUACAUUGGUUCGAAUCCGAUUCUAGCUU